UUGAAACACUGGUUCUUGUACAAUCAGUGAAGUUAAGCAAUGUUGAGCCUGGUCAGUACCUAGAUGAGUGACAGCUUGGGAAUACCAAGUGUUGUAA